UACGUAGGGGGCAAGCGUUGUCCGGAUUUAUUGGGCGUAAAGAGCGUGUAGGCGGCCAAGCAGGUCAGCUGUGAAAACUCGAGGCUCAACCUCGAGACGUCGGUUGAAACCGCUUGGCUAGAGUCCGGAAGAGGAGAGUGGAAUUCCCGGUGUAGCGGUGAAAUGCGCAGAUAUCGGGAAGAACACCCGUGGCGAAGGCGGCUCUCUGGGACGGUACUGACGCUGAGGAGCGAAAGCCAGGGGAGCAAACGGG
rnacentral:rRNA from 1 species